GACUUUCUCAACAAGUUCUACAAGACGAAAAUCCAUAGAAACACCGAUGGGAUCUACCCAAACCAAUUUUUAGUUUCAACAUUAGAAAAGUCAAGUUGUUAAAUUUACUAGUACUAGAGGAGAGAGAAUCAGGUUGGCCCGGCGGUCAAGGUUUAUAGCUGUUAGUCCUAAGUUCUAUCAGCUCCUUUGCGGCUAGUCUACGGAGGAAUGUGCUCCGGCUUCAAUUGCACCCCACUAAUGGACAUGGUAACUGGUCUCAGGAUUAGUCGACACUACUAGUUAGUGAACAGUGGAAUUGGUCCCAGGAUCACUUUUGAGGUGCGCGGAAGCUGUCCAGACAGAUAAUUUAUAGAGAAAAAAAAUCAGGAGAGGAGAGAGAGGAGGGUUCUAACUCACCAGGCAUAUCGAUCUCGGGCAAAACCCUAACCCCGUGCUCCAACCCAAACUCCACCACUCUCCUCACAUCCUCCGCCGAGUACUGCAUUCCCUCCCCAUAACUCCCUUUCAGAGCCAACUCCGGCUCCGACGGCACCACAAUCGGAAACGACUGCGAGUCCGUGAUAUGCCAAUGGAACACAUUCAUCUUAUUCCAACUCAUCGCCCCGAUCGUCCUCAA